UACAUUCAUUCACUCCACAAAGUAUUUUGAGAGGUAGAGAGAGAAAAUAGAUCUUAAGAGGAGAAGAAUAAAGAAAGGGUUAGAAAGAAGGAAAACUUGAAGAGAGGAAGAUACUGGAGACUUGGAGGAUUUAAAGUGAAACCAUAGUUAAGAUUUCGGAAGCUAGAGGUAAGGGGGAUGGUUUCCUUUUCACAUUUAAGCUAUAAUCUACUAUUUUCAAUUAUGGGAUUUAAGUGCUUUUAUGUUAAUUGUGGAUUUUGUGAUUUUUAUGUUGAAUUUCGUGCUCAUAAU
rnacentral:lncRNA from 1 species